CCUACGGGAGGCAGCAGUAGGGAAUUUUCGUCAAUGGGGGAAACCCUGAACGAGCAAUGCCGCGUGAGUGAAGAAGGCCUUCGGGUCGUAAAGCUCUGUUGUAAGAGAAAAACGGUAAUGAUAGGAAAUGAUCAUUAAGUGAUGGUAUCUUACGAGGAAGCCACGGCUAACUACGUGCCAGCAGCCGCGGUAAU
rnacentral:rRNA from 1 species